rnacentral:sRNA from 1 species
GAAUAAACCCGAUGGCAGUGGUAGCUGCCGGCUUCACGCCAGCACUACAAACGGACAGCGGGACUAAAA